rnacentral:rRNA from 1 species
UACAGAGGGUGCGAGCGUUAAUCGGAAUUACUGGGCGUAAAGCGUGCGCAGGCGGUUUUGUAAGCCAGAUGUGAAAUCCCCGGGCUAACCUGGGAAUGGCAUUUGGGACUGCAAGGCUUGAGUGCGGCAGAGGAGACUAGAAUUCCUGGUGUAGCAGUGAAAUGCGUAGAUAAUCAGGAGGAAUACCGAUGCGAAGGCAGGUCUCUGG